rnacentral:sRNA from 1 species
UCAGAAUAAAUUAUUGAAGGUUUUGA